GAUGAACGCUGGCGGCGUGCCUAAUACAUGCAAGUCGAGCGAACGGACGAGAAGCUUGCUUCUCUGAUGUUAGCGGCGGACGGGUGAGUAACACGUGGAUAACCUACCUAUAAGACUGGGAUAACUUCGGGAAACCGGAGCUAAUACCGGAUGAUAUUUUGAACCGCAUGGUUCAAAAGUGAAAGACGGUCUUGCUGUUACUUAUAGAUGGAUCCGCGCUGCAUUAGCUAGUUGGUAAGGUAACGGCUUACCAAGGCAACGAUGCAUAGCCGACCUGAGAGGGUGAUCGGCCACACUGGAACUGAGACACGGUCCAGGCUCCUACGGGAGGCAGCAGUAGGGAAUCUUCCGCAAUGGGCGAAAGCCUGACGGAGCAACGCCGCGUGAGUGAUGAAGGUCUUCGGAUCGUAAAACUCUGUUAUUAGGGAAGAACAUAUGUGUAAGUAACUGUGCACAUCUUGACGGUACCUAAUCAGAAAGCCACGGCUAACUACGUG
rnacentral:rRNA from 1 species